rnacentral:rRNA from 1 species
AUUGAACGCUGGCGGCAUGCCUUACACAUGCAAGUCGAACGGCAGCGCGGACUUCGGUCUGGCGGCGAGUGGCGAACGGGUGAGUAAUACAUCGGAACGUACCCUGUUGUGGGGGAUAACUAGUCGAAAGAUUAGCUAAUACCGCAUACGACCUGAGGGUGAAGUGGGGGACCGCAAGGCCUCACGCAGCAGGAGCGGCCGAUGUCUGAUUAGCUAGUUGGUGGGGUAAAGGCCCACCAAGGCGACGAUCAGUAGCUGGUCUGAGAGGACGAUCACCCACACUGGGACUGAGACACGGCCCAGACUCCUACGGGAGGCAGCAGUGGGGAAUUUUGGACAAUGGGGGCAACCCUGAUCCAGCAAUGCCGCGUGUGUGAAGAAGGCCUUCGGGUUGUAAAGCACUUUUGUCCGGAAAGAAAUCGCGCUGGUUAAUACCUGGCGUGGAUGACGGUACCGGAAGAAUAAGCACCGGCUAACUACGUGCCAGCCGCCGCCGUAA